AUUGAACGCUGGCGGAAUGCUUUACACAUGCAAGUCGAGCGGCAGCGCGGGGGCAACCCGUGGCGGCGAGCGGCGAACGGGUGAGUAAUACAUCGGAACGUGUCCUUAAGGUGGGGGAUAGCUCGGCGAAAGCCGGAUUAAUACCGCAUAAGCUCUGGAGGAGGAAAGCGGGGGCUCCGUAAGGACCUCGCGCUGUUGGAGCGGCCGAUGUCGGAUUAGCUAGUUGGUGGGAAAGGCCCACCAAGGCGACGAUCCGUAGCUGGUCUGAGAGGAUGAUCAGCCACACUGGAACUGAGA
rnacentral:rRNA from 1 species